rnacentral:rRNA from 1 species
UGCGUAGGCGGAUUAAUAAGUCAGUGGUGAAAUCUUUCGGCUCAACCGAGAAACUGCCAUUGAUACUGUUAAUCUUGAGUUCGGUUGAGGUAGGCGGAAUGUGUAAUGUAGCGGUGAAAUGCUUAGAUAUUACACAGAACACCAAUUGCGUAGGCAGCUUACUAGACCGACACUGACGCUGAGGCACGAAAGCGUGGGUAGCGAACAGGAUUAGAUACCCUGGUAGUCC